rnacentral:rRNA from 1 species
GAGGAAUAUUGGUCAAUGGACGAGAGUCUGAACCAGCCAAGUAGCGUGAGGGAUGACUGCCCUAUGGGUUGUAAACUUCUUUUAUACGGGAAUAAAGUUAGCCACGUGUGGCUUUUUGUAUGUACCGUAUGAAUAAGGAUCGGCUAACUCCGUGCCAGCAGCCGCGGUAAUACGGAGGAUCCGAGCGUUAUCCGGAUUUAUUGGGUUUAAAGGGAGCGUAGGCGGGUUGUUAAGUCAGUUGUGAAAGUUUGCGGCUCAACCGUAAAAUUGCAGUUGAUACUGGCGACCUUGAGUGCAACAGAGGUAGGCGGAAUUCGUGGUGUAGCGGUGAAAUGCUUAGAUAUCACGAAGAACUCCGAUUGCGAAGGCAGCUUACUGGAUUGUAACUGACGCUGAUGCUCGAAAGUGUGGGUAUCAAACAGGAUUAGAUACCCUGGUAGUCCACACAGUAAACGAUGAAUACUCGCUGUUGGCGAUAUACGGUCAGCGGCCAAGCGAAAGCAUUAAGUAUUCCACCUGGGGAGUACGCCGGCAACGGUGAAACUCAAAGGAAUUGACGGGGGCCCGCACAAGCGGAGGAACAUGUGGUUUAAUUCGAUGAUACGCGAGGAACCUUACCCGGGCUUAAAUUGCAACUGACUGAACCGGAAACGGUUCUUUCUUCGGACAGUUGUGAAGGUGCUGCAUGGUUGUCGUCAGCUCGUGCCGUGAGGUGUCGGCUUAAGUGCCAUAACGAGCGCAACCCUUAUCGAUAGUUACUAGCAGGUCAUGCUGAGGACUCUAUUGAGACUGCCGUCGUAAGAUGUGAGGAAGGUGGGGAUGACGUCAAAUCAGCACGGCCCUUACGUCCGGGGCUACACACGUGUUACAAUGGGGGGUACAGAAGGCAGCUACACGGCGACGUGGUGCUAAUCCCGAAAGCCUCUCUCAGUUCGGAUUGGAGUCUGCAACCCGACUCCAUGAAGCUGGAUUCGCUAGUAAUCGCGCAUCAGCCACGGCGCGGUGAAUACGUUCCCG